rnacentral:rRNA from 1 species
AUUGAACGCUGGCGGCAGGCCUAACACAUGCAAGUCGAACGAGUGGCGGACGGGUGAGUAAUGUCUGGGAAACCGCCCGAUGGAGGGGGAUAACUACUGGAAACGGUAGCUAAUACCGCAUACCAUCGGAUGUGCCCAUAUGGGAUUAGCUAGUAGGUGGGGGAACGGCUCCCCUAGGCGACGAUCCCUAGCUGGUCUGAGAGGAUGACCAGCCACACUGGAACUGAGACACGGUCCAUACGCCUACGGGAGGCAGCAGUGGGGAAUAUUGCACAAUGGGCGCAAGCCUGAUGCAGCCAGGCCGCGUGUAUGAAGAAGGCCUUCGGGUUGUAAAGUACUUUCAGCGGGGAGGCGUUACCCGCAGAAGAAGCACCGGCUAACUCCGUGCCAGCAGCCGCGGUAAUAC